UGUUCUGAAUGUGCACGCGUCCGGAUCUUCACACGCGCAUACUCAUACACGCACACUCGCCAGCGACUUCUCUUGUGUAGCUGACCGUCCUUCCUUCGCUUGAAAGGUAGCACAGACGCCGAGUCUCUUCUCGGGUCUCUUCGCGAAGGUCUCUCUUCCUCUUGGUAUCGCUCUCCGAUACAUUUUCUACUUGCUUCUGGAACCGUGACUUCAUCAGAGCUUCCCAACAUGACGAGCAUCGCGACACACACUGUUACGCCGCGAACGGUGACGGACGGGGCGGGGGAGUCCAUCUGGCACAUCUAUGAGGGCCGCACCUACCGCGUGCCCAUGUCGUUUGUGCGCCGUCACCCCAACGGGCAGAAGCUGCUGCUGCCGUACGCGAACCGUGACAUUACGCAGGCGUACAACGAAGCAGGUCACUCGAAAAAGGCGAUGCGCACGCUGCUGAAGUUUCUGGAUGAGUCCAUCUCCAUAGAAGAGCUGCAGUUGCUGUGCGAGAAGGCGUGCGAGGGGCCCGACCAAUACACUUGGAACUGGUGCGUGCGGGCCGGAAGUUUGCUGAGUGUGAUUGCAGUGAUGGUGGCUGUGUACAUGCGCUGUAAACAGCGGUCUGCGUAGCAGAAUUGGUAGUGUACGCUCCUUGCCACACGGGGCCGCAGGGAGGCUACUUUCAGCAGCUCCUUAUAGACGGUGUGUCUCCGUGCCAUCGACUACUCACCUUGCCCGUUUCUUCCUUUGCCCGCAUACACAACUAUUUCCUUCUCUGAGUGUGUUGCUUCUACCUCACCAGCCAACUACUUCAUCAACGAUCGUUCUCCUGCGCACAGACUUGCGCGUGUGAGCCUCUUUGCGCGCUCUUCUCUUUUUUUUUUCGUUUUUUUUUUUUUUACCGGGCACAUCUUGUGACGCGAGAGGGAGAGAGCGGCUGCGACGCCGCUCUACGUGGCACACGAAUGCCUGCAUACACCCAGAUGCAGUCAAGGAGCGAGCCACGCGGCCAUUGAUGUGUUUUAGACGCUGCUGGCUGUCUCCACCUCCCUUCUCUCUCUCCUCUCGCGCGUAAGCACUCUUCCCGUACACUCGAGUGACUGAGCUGUCUUUCCGUUUUUUUAGCUCGCGGGCUCCGUCGCGCUCCGCCUUUUCUCGUCCUCCUUUCAUCGCUCGGUUUGGCUUCUCGCUGGACGUGUCCGGCGAAUACCCCCCACGAAUGAGAACGCACACACAAAACAAAAGAGGCUGCUGAUCCUUUUUCGCAUUGGAAGAACGGGCCUGCCGGAGGUGGCGACACCCGCCUCUGCCUGCGUUCCUCUUCGCCACUGCCAGGAGCUCAGAGCGCCCAUUUGCUUCUCAUUGUGUGUGGCCACAGUCGCGCCACAAAA
rnacentral:misc_RNA from 1 species